AAAUUACAGAAAUCACUUAAAUUUUACAAUAGUUUAGUUUAAGUACAGUUUAUUCGAAAAAAAUAAUAAAAUAUAUGUCACCGAUGAGUUAAAAAAGUAAUUUCAAUUUUAAUGCCAAAAAAUGGCCUUUGUUUCACCAAAAAAAGAUAAUUUGGAGCCUUUUCAAUGAUAUAAAUAUUUUUAAAGUCAUCUGGGGCCAAAGCAGUCGAUUGAUUUGGUCGAUUUUUGUACCAUAUCAUAAAGUAACAACUAAUAGUGUAAUAAAUAAAAUUUGAAAUGAAAAAAAAAAAAUGUUUCAACAUUUGCUGAUUUUUUUUGUACCCCCGAGCCUCC
rnacentral:lncRNA from 1 species